rnacentral:lncRNA from 13 species
AUGUCACAAGGAGGCCCCCAGGGGGAAUAUAGUGUGGGUGUGUUGGUCUGUUUUCUAUUCAAAAGCCUCAAAACUCACUACUAUGAGAGCGUCUUCCCUACUGUAUCUUUGCUACGCCAGAUUAUCUCUCUCUCUCUCUCUCACACACACACAAAAGUAUCUCUGCUAAUAUCUCUACUUUGCUAUCUACCUACAUCUAAAUUAAAUUUAAGCAUCAAAUUUUUAAGCAAUAAAUUUAAGCAUCAAACCACACCAAAGGGACCCUGAGUAAUCGCAUGUCCCUGGGAAUCAAACCUGGACUUCAAAGCAGUACAGUUACAGUAAGCGUAGCUACAUUGCUACAUCUAAUACCUACUGCGUGUUCAGUAUGCUGCGUAUGCUUCAGUAUGCUUCAGAUCACUAUUGUGAUACAGUAAAAUGUCACUGCUCUCUCAGACACAUGAGAGGUGAGUAAUGGUAAUGUCACAUUGUUGCCACUUUAAAAGCGUUCUGUAUGUCUCUGUGCAGUACAUAACAGAGGGAUUCAGAUGAGAGCCAGCUGACUGAGUGAAGCUAAAUGAACCUGAAAUCCUGAGGUAAUUAUACCUGCCUGUCAGGAAUGUCGCCCUAAUGGCCCCUGUGUUUACACCCAUGCCCCUACCAUACUAUACCGCAGCAGACACAUUAGCGCCACCGCACACUCUUUAGCACACACACAUAUCUGCACGUGAGUGUGUGUGUGCAAGUGCUUGUGUUUAUUUCAGUGAGACGGAAGUCUCUGACGAGUGUCCCAUGUCUCCACUCAUUAGCAAGUACAAUAUAAUGGAUAAUUAAGGGGAGUCUUGAGUAUAGCCUACUAUACAGUGUUUGUAUAUAAACUGUAUACUAUUUCUAGACAACUCUCGUCAGGCUACCAUGGAACAGCCUCGAAUACUGAUACUGCAGAGCCUCUUUCUGAUGAUGUUACAGUUCCAUUUUUGGCAGUUGGACAUCACAUUAUGCGUCAGGUCAAUGAGUCAGGAAUGUUAAAUAGUCCAAAAAUGCUCCUCACAUUGCAUAUCACAGCUCCUGGGGUAAUGGAGCUGCACUGCUGAGGAGGCCUUGUAACUCAAACCACUAAGAGAGGCGGAUGCGCCACAAACAGACAUGAGAGAAACAUCUAGAAUCUGUUAAAUUCAAAGCAUGAAUCAUUCCAACAGAAUCCUGGAGUCCAUGUUGGAUGGAGAAAAGGAGUCAAGUGUGUCAGAAAACAGAGGAGGGAUGGUGUAUCAUGUUGUGGUGACAGAAUGAUGGAAUGAUCCACAGCCAAUGAGAAUAGGAGAGCAGUAAUCAGAGAAACAGUAUAACAACAACACAAAUGUGUCCGUCCUUGUACACCUUAGGAAUGUCUGUGUCUGUGGUAAAGAAAAAGGAUAGGAUAUUUUGGAAUGGGCGACUAAUGCUGCAUUUAGACGAGGGACGCAGAAACCAUCAUACAAGAAGAAAGCAAGCCAGCACGACGGUAUGGUUGCUGUGGUGAUUUUGGUAAACAAACAGUGCAAAUCAACAUCCGGUAGAAAAGAACGCUACGACAGACAACAAAAGUUUUUAUAUUUUAACUCUGGUGGCAUGUCCCGUCUACUGUGACCUCAACGGCAUUUACCGUCGUGCUCUCAUUGAAAACAAUGACAUCCGGACGCCGUCUACCUCGUACAAUCUAAACGCAGCGUAACUGUACCCCCACUGAGUUGUGUUGAAUAGAUAACAGUUGGAUACUAUCAGACAGGUUCACAUGGAGGAUUACAACAAGCUGCUACUGCUGAGGUCUGAGAAGACAGUCUGGAGGUGUGACGGAGUCACUGAGAGACUACUGCAAGACUUGCCCCGAGAACACACUAGGAUAGGAUAGGUACAGAUGGAGGGAUGGAAAGAGGGACAGAUAGUUACACGCUGAGAGAGAGAGUACAGACAAGGGGAGAGAGGGGAAAGAGAGUGUAUCUACCUCUGAGGCACAAACAUUUGAUAAUGUGAGUGAGUAGGGGGGAAUUGGGGGGUGGAUGAAUAAUAAUUUUAGCAAAUGGUCAAAGGAAGUUGGCAGUGAACUUAUUGGGACACAGGAUGAAACUCCUUCAUGGGAUAACAUACUAACACACUUUUCAUAAUGAUUGGUCAACACCAGCUGACAGAAAAGACCAGGAUAUCUAACGCAGUGAUGCUUCUUGGAUUAUGGGUGGUAGUGAUAUUGCAACUUUAGUGACUUGAGGCAGACAAUUGGUGUUAGGGUUGGUGUUAGGGUUGGUGUUAGGGUUGGUGUUAGGGUUUGGGUUUGGGUUGGUGUUAGGGUUGGUGUUUGGCGUUGGUAUUUGGCGUUGGUGUUAGGGUUGGUGUUUGGCGUUGGUGUUAGGGUUGGUGUUUGGCGUUGGUGUUAGGGUUGGUGUUUGGUGUUGGUGUUAGGGUUGGUACUGGCGGAGAGGUUUAGUGUUCAAAGACACACUGGCAGAGUUGAGUUCUGUGUAGAGAUACUGAGUCAGCCUCUGAUGCUCCAGUCUGUCCAAUAAGGGUCCAUACUGGGACAAGAGGCCAGUCAGAAACCAGUGGCCACACUCGGUGAAAAGGGGCGAUAAUGUCGUCAACUUCCUUGUUGUAUCCAAGAAGCCCACUCAGUCUGUACUCUUAUACUGUAUGUCCAUUCCCACAUCAAGGUUUCCAUGGCAACCCCACUUCCCCCUCUCCUCCUUUUCCUCCUUCCUG